UUACUUCAUUAUUUCGCAUUUAUUGAAAAAUAUUCUCAAAAAAAUUCCUAGCUGUCCAUUUUGUUCAUAUAUAUACACGGUCAAAAAUGGAUUUCUUUCCCAUUCUCUCAUUUGUCCACAAAGCUUCUUCUUUGUCUCUGUGUUUGUUUUUUUUUUUCUCUAACCCUUCUUACAGGUGAUCAAGAAGACCCGAGGGUCUGGUGCGCUUCCAAAGGAAACUCCGCCCAGCCUCUUUGCCUUUCCCAACGGCGUGACAAAAAGAAAGGCUCAGAAAAGAAUUUUCCCUUCAAGUAUUUUUUUUGCUAGGCAGUACCACCAGCAACGUGGUGGUCAUUCCUGACCUCACGAUCCCCAAAACCCCUCUCGCGGUGGCUCUAAUUGACAAUAACAGGGUUCGAAAAGAGAAAUCCACAUCCAAAACCCAUUUGGACUCAUCACUGUCGCCUGAUGUUUUGGCUCCUAAGAUAAAAUAUAAUGGGUGAUUUCAGGUCACAACAUCUUGUAGUUCACCUGGGGCUAAAGGUACCAGCUGUCAUUCCUCUCCUACCGAGUCUACUCCUUUGUUAAAAUAUAGGAAAAAGGAAAGGAUAUUUCAACCAUAUUGUACUUCCUCUGAGGAUGAAUAUGUGCCUUCAAAUGAUGAAGAUCAAGAAGAUGAUGAUGAAGAUGCUAUUGCAGACCUAGAAAAUGUGUUAGAAAUCGAGUCUGAUCCCCAAGAUUCCUUGCCUGUUUCCUCAAAAUCAUAGGGCAAGAAAGCUAUGGAAUUUCCAAACCCCAAACCGAAGCAAACUGUUGCACCUCUGCCUAAGUUAGGUUCUGCAUUUAAACCCCACUCUCUGAAUUGUUACUUCAAUGGAAAUGAGAAAACUAUGAAACAUUAAUAGCAUAUGGAUUUUAUUUGUUAGAAAAAUUUCUAUUUUUAUGUCCAUAGUGUGUUUGGUGUUCUGAAAAUAUUGAGAAAAAGGGUUGGUUGGGUUCUCUUACUAAUUUUGAUGGGUAUGUUUCAAGGGUAGUUCAAGAAUUUUAUGCAAAUCUCAAUGAACUGUUUGAUAAAAAUUCUUUUAUGUUUGAGAAAGUAUGUCUGUGGACAUUGGUAUGCUUUUAAUCCAUCUGAAAUAGUUAAAGUGCUCAAGCUACCUCUUGGUGUUCAAAAUGACUCAAUUGAUUUUGCCAAAGAUCAAGUUUUAUCUGAGUUGGUUGGUCUAAGGAUGAUUUGGGAGUCGAAUGCCACUCUUAAAGUCUCAGAUCUUACUCACUAUGAUGAUGUGAUUCACAAGUUCGUUGUCAACAAUUGGAUGCUCACAACUCACUCCUCAACUAUCAUUUUUGAUUCAACCUUCUUUCAGUUCAAGGUUGGUACAGGGGUCAAAGUUGAUUUAGCCUCUCUUGUAUUUGAUUAGAUUAUUACCUUGGGAAAUGCUGAAAAGAAAGGUCCGUAUCUUUUUGUUCCAAACUUAAUCUACAAAUCCCUGCUAAGGAGAAAGACUAGCAGGCUAUUAUGACAGAUGUCAACAUGAGGCUAUGCAAACUAUUGGCUAAGGAAUAUAGCCUGAAAUUUUUCCCUUGAGGUCCUAAUAGAAGGCGAACCCUCCCCAUGAUCGAGGAGGUCGAGGAAAUGGAGGAGGCCACCCCAUCAGUGUGCCUGCAUCCUACACAAGAGUCCAACCAGGAACACACUCAUUCUAGUGAUGGUAUUGGCACCUCCGGGCAAGGUAACCGUUAGAGUGGUCUUAACCGAGGUGCCUAUUGUCCAUUGUUAGCUCGUUAUAACCCAUUAAAAUUCAUGAUGAGGAUAUUGAUCUUGACAAAAAUGUGAUUGCUCAACACACAUGUGGAUUCACUAAUACCCCGAUACAACCAUAGUUUUUUUCUUCUUUCAGAAACCAUUUUAGUAAACAACACCUUUAGUUUUAAGAGUGCGAGAUUUAUAGAAUAUGGUACUAACAUGCGACUUGAGUCCUGUCUUUCACGAAGUACCCUAUUCCCUAUCCAGACAUUCGAAGAGUGCGAGCCUAGCUCGAAUGAAGAACCACACCCUGACCCUGUUGCCCUCGAGCCUGACCUCGAAUCUAUUUAUGACAAACUUAUUAAUCUUGAACGUGCUAACCCCAUCAUCAUUCCCGAAAUACUUGUGAUAGACUCCUCCUCUAGUUUGGACGGUAGGAUCACUAACCUUUAUGUCUGUUUUUGUGCUUAUUCAAUUAAGUUUUGCUAACCUCUUCUCAUUUUAUUGUUGCACAAGAAAAGAUGACUGAACUAGCUAGCACCUUUACCACCUUCGGUCCAGUAGUUAAAAAGCCACAGAUCCAAAAGAAAGCUCUCAACUCUGAUAUUUGUGGUACUUCCACUAGGAGCUAGAGUAAGAAGGGUGAAGCCUACGUUCCCAAUGCGCCGCCUCCUCCUCCCUCGAAGCACACUCCCCAUGAUAAGGGUGUGGUAGUCAACACCCAGCUCGCACCUCCUCCCAUUCCCCGUCUUACUCCCGACUUAUCAAGGUUCCCUAACUGACAUCAGAGCUCGGUCUGAGUUCUUGUUGAAAAUCUCCUCGGCCAUGUAGAGCAAUUGGCAGACGGAGAGCUCGAUAGGAUUGAGGAAGUUCCUCCUACCGACGUCUUCAACUAGGCCUUUAGGAAGCACCUAAGGACUGAAGACAGGAUGUGGUCUCAGAUGUCGGAAGCCGUGAAGGGGAGGGCUCAACUGGAGGGGAUGAAUGCCCACCUGGAGACCGAGGUAAAGCAACUUCAGGAGGAAAUCUACACUACUCGGGGUAAUGAAAAGAUCUCCAAAGAGCGCACCACUGAUCUCUUGAGAGUUCAAGAGGAGAACAAGGCUGAGGUUGACGCCCUCAAGUAGUCGCACCGAGCUAAGGUGGAAGCUCUUACCAAGUCAAUAGAAGAAGUUUUCUAUCGAGUCUGGUGCUUCAACCAGGAUGCAGACUACUCCCUCCUUAUGGAGGAGAUCCUGACACCUUAAAUGGCCAAAUUUAAAGAUCUUCUUGUUCGGGAGCCAACAGAGACCACGAAGACGGGAGCUACUAUUGAGUACGGGGAGGAUGACGUUUUUUCUCAGGAGACCUGACUCACAGCUGAUUUUUUUUUUUGUUUUUGUAAUUUCAUAGAGUUUCUUUUUUUUGUGGGGGAUUUUCAAAGCCCUUGUAAUCAGACCUUAUAGGUCGAAACAAUCUUUACUUUUACUUUUCUCUAUUUCUUUUAAACUGAAUCUUGGAGGUUAUUUCCUCUUUUUGUGUUAGGUUUAUGCCCUAAAAUAAUGUAAAAAAUAUAUUUUAUUGAUUUAAAUGAAAGUAUUAUAUUUGAAUGUUAUAA